CACUCUAGAGAGACUGCCAGGGAUAACCUGGAGGAAGGUGGGGAUGACGUCAAAUCAUCAUGCCCCUUAUGCUUAGGGCUACACACGUGCUACAAUGGGUAGUACAGAGGGUUGCCAAGCCGUAAGGUGGAGCUAAUCCCUUAAAGCUACUCUCAGUUCGGAUUGUAGGCUGAAACUCGCCUACAUGAAGCUGGAGUUACUAGUAAUCGCAGAUCAGAAUGCUGCGGUGAAUGCGUUCCCGGGUCUUGUACACACCGCCCGUCACACCACGGGAGUUGGAGACGCCCGAAGCCGAUUAUCUAACCUUGUGGAAGAAGUCGUCGAAGGUGGAAUCAAUAACUGGGGUGAAGUCGUAACAAGGUAGCCGUAUCGGAAGGUGCGGCUGGAUCACCUCCUUUCUAAGGAGA
rnacentral:rRNA from 1 species